UUUUUUCAUGACGACCAAUAAAAAACAACAGUGUUACCCCUUAUGUUUUUUUUCAUGACGACCAAAGAAAAACGACAGUUGUCACCCCUCAUGUUUCAUUUGGUGAAAACGACAGUGUUACCCCCUAUGUUUUAUUCGAUACAUUUCGACAGUGUUACCCCUUAUUUUUUUUUCAUGACGACCAAUAAAAAACGACAGUGUUACCCCUUAUGUUUUUUUCAUGACGAUCAAAGAAAAACGACACUGUCACCCCUCAUGUUUCAUUUGGUAAAAACGACAGUGUUACCACCUAUGUUUUAUUCGAUACAUUUCGACAGUGUUAUCCCUUAUGGGUUUUUCAUGACGACAGAUAAAAAAACGACAGUGUUACCCUUUACGUUUCAUUUGAUAAAAACGACAGUGAUACCCCUUAUAUUAUUUUCCCAUGAUGACUGAUGAAAAACAACAGUGUUACCCCUUAUGUUUUUUUCAUGACGACCAAAAAAAACCAACAUGUUACCCCUUAUGGGUUUUUCAUGACGACAGAAGAAAAACGACAGUGUUACCCUUUACGUUUCAUUUGAUAAAAACGACAGUGUUACCCCUUAUGUUUAUUUGACAUGGACAAUCUUUUUUUCAUGAUGACCAAUAAAAAACAACAGUGGUACCCCUGUCGACGCUUUUGCGGGGAUCCAAACCUGAGCUGUUUAGAGUGUUACCUCCGAACUUAUCAAUGCACCAUCAAGAAACCGAAUAAAGACAUCACAAUGGUUGUACUCAACUUUAGAAUUUGCAUGAAAUAGAAAUAAGAGUCUUCCAACAGAGGACAUCAACCGGACUUGAACCCCGGUCGCCAGUGGGUUAUGUCUCAUGUUUCAUGUGAUAAAAACGACAGUGUUACCCCUUGUUUUUUUU
ensembl:lncRNA